CAGCAAGAGAUUCAAACCUUGCUUGCUCACAAGGUUAAUAUUUACAAAUAUUGACUUCUGUUGAGCCCUUUGGAACUUAAAAAAUAGUCUCUUGAUUUCUCAGUGAUAACACAGGAGGGAUUUUUGUUUUGUUUUUUUAGUUGGGCAGUGCACAAUUUUAUAUUUUUACUCUGAAAGCUGGUUUGCAAGGAGGUGCAUAAAUAUUAUUUAUCAAAUUACUAGCAUUUUUUGCAAUGCAACUUAUGUUUUUAUAAUGACACCAGAUUAAGAAGAGUGAAAGAAUUGAGCUGCAAAUCUAAGCUUUGCACUCCCAAUCUUAUGUUGGAAUAAUAAAUUCAGUUCAGCCAUAACUUACUGAAUAUGUCUAAUAUUUCUGAAAAUGUCUGAGAUAUUACUGGAUAGGUCAUAGAAGAAAUAUGGAGAAAUGGAAACUAGAAUGAUCUGUGUGAUUCUAGUUGUGGAAGCCGGAAGUUCAAAAUCAAGAUGUCAGCAGUGUGUGUCAGUUCCUUCUGGAGUCUCGAGGAAGGAUCCGUUGUAUGAGUCUCUCCUUCCCUCUGUGCUGCAACUCCUGAAACCUGAAGUCUGUGACUCACCAGUUCUAAGCCCCAGAGUCCUGAUGGGGCACCUCAAGGAGACACUUCAGCCACCUAAGUCAGCUGGACCACCCCAUGACACAGUCAUGGAGGUUCCAGUCUGAAUUCAGAGUCAAUGAUAAGGGAGGCUUCCGUGGCAGAGUGAAAAGCACACACCUGAGAAAUGAAAAGAAAUGGCAAAGGUCACACGUCUCAGGAUGAAUUGCACUGUGUGUGACACCCUAGCUGAAAUCCUAUCCCACAGGACCAUCAGGUCCACGAGAGAAGAGGUGUGCUCAGGAGGGCUGACUGGAAGUCUGAAGACAGCAUGGCAUACAACCAAUGGGUGGAGAGCAGGAGCCAGAGAUGACAUAUGGGAUGAGGCCUUCAUUAAAGUCCAUGGGUAUUAUCCAUCAGGCUUUCCUGUAGGGAUUGUGGAUUGGUCAAUUUAAAGAAAACACUUGUGAACAGGAGUACUUAUCUACAUGAUUCUGACAUUGAUCAUUGAGUUUUAUCAUGGACAGUAGCUGUGGGAUUUUAGGCUAGUGAGAUAGGAAUAAGCAGGCCAUAUUGCAAACAACAACAGGGGCAAGAAAAGUUUUAACUAGUCCAAAGGUGAAGGAAUAUAAACAGGUUUCCAACAGUGGAUACCAGGCCUAAAAAUGGAUGCCAAGGCAACAACUAUAUUAAACAACUUUAUGACACAUACAUUUGUCAUAUAAAUAGUCAGUCCUCUUGUAUGUAGAGAAAAAGAAUAAUGAUUAAUAUGUAACAUGUUCAGAUUUUUGCCUAAUGGAUCUGCUUUUAAGUGAAGAGGUUACAUAUUCUAAUCUGCUCUAUAAGCCACAGUCUCUGUACUUGCUAACUAUUAUUUCACCUUUAUAAUGGCCCUCUGAGGUCAGUUGUAUCGUUUUUUUUUAACAGUUAAGAAAAUGGAAACUGAGGCUGCAAGAUGUAAAGUGAUUCCAAAGAUUAGUGAAAUGCACAACUUUUCCACUAUAUGAGGCUGGCCUAAAGAAUUCCUCAAAAGAUGUGGAGUAGGAGUAGCUUUGCAUUUAUUAUGAAGUCCCACAGGCACAAAGUGCCCUCUAAAGGCAUGAUUUUUUUUUCCUGACAAUUUUUAUUGGGUCAGGACAUAAUAACAUGACAUUUUUAUGGGACUUUCAUCUCAGAAUCCCAAAGCAAUCCCAAAGCACUUAGAACACAUUAUUUAGCUCUCACAACUUAAAAGGUAGGUAGCAAAUUAUUUUGAUAGGAAAUUAACUAUAAUAAGGCUGGCAACAACAGCAUAACAAGUGCUAGUGAAUUGCCUUAAAGGAAUGCAAAGGAUUCAUAUACAUUUCCUAGGUUAGAGGAGAGGCUACUUAUUAAAGGAAAGUGGAGUGGGAACAAGAUUUGAGAAGAUUUAGGAUCUCUUUCCAUGGGUGGAUGUCUUAGAGGUAGCAAUGUUUCUUGUGCUGUGAUUAGUGAGGUUGACUAUUAACUCUCAACAAACAUAUGGUCAUGUCUUCAAAAAUAAUUUUUUUGAAAAUAUAGCUAAAGAGUAGAGUUAUGGACAUCAUUCAGUUCAACAUUUAUUUUACACCACUAUAUAAAGCUUGUGGGAUGGAUAAGAUUUGGCUAUUUUUUAAAACAUUAUUUCUUGUCUACUCCUAUGCAUGGCAUCUGAGUAGAAAAUGCUGAAAUGAGUUUUUCCUAUGCCAAUAUUCCAAGAUAUCUCUUUUCUACUGUAAUGAUAGCAAUAUUUAUUGAAAGGCACAUUUGUCUUUUCACUUCCCUCUUUACUGAAGCCUUGAGAAUAAUUCCCAAAUAGAAUCAUAGCGUUCCAUUAAUCUGAGAAACUCUUAUGAUUACUCUAUUAUAAAGUAGUAACUGGGUUAUCCCCUGAAUAAUUAAGAAUCAUUAACUUAGUCCAGGUCAUUAAAGAUGAUCUGAUGUGGAAGACAGGUGAAUUUACUCAAGUAAAACAGAAACACACAGAGAUAAGUGGCUACCAAAGUUCCCACAGCUAAAUGCUGGUGGAGAUGGGAUUCACCCUUUGAUCUCUGACUCAAAUCUGGUGCUCUUUCUCAUUCAUCCCACUGAUAAAGAAAAAUGGUUUUGAUUUUACUUUCUUUUUGCCAAGGGCUUAUGCAAUUAACUUAUUGUGUACAAUUGAUAGGGACAGGGGGCAGAGAAAUUCUAGGCAGAAAAAGGCAGGUCCCCAGCAAAACCCCACGCUGAAGCUGGAAAGCCUGAAACCAUGGCCCAAAGUGAGAACCUAUGUCUCUGUUUUCCUAUUUGAAUGUUGUCUUUUCCUAAUCCACCCAUGGCUCUCCUCCACCUUAUCCUGUGCCUAUAAAAACCCCAGACUCAGCCAGCAGAUGAGACUAUGGCUGGACAUCAGAGAGAAGCAGCUUGACUUCAGAGGGACAGCUAGACCAUAUAACUUUGGAGAACAAUCUGGCUGGAUAUGGCUGGACUUCAGGGAAAGAUUACCUAUCCACCCCAUGCAUUUUUGAGCUCCCCUUCCCACUGACAGCCACUUUCAUUGGCAAUAAAAUCCCCCUCAUUUACCAUCUUUCAAUUUGUUCACGCAACCUCAUUUUUCUGGAUGCCAGACAAGAGCUCAGGAGCCGCAAGUGCAGAUACAAAAGGCUGUCACACUAGCCCUUUGCCCUUGCUGGCAGGGGGCAGCUGUCUCACGCAAAAAGGCAGAGGACCCAUAAAAAAUGAUGAGUUCAUGUCCUUUGUAGGGACAUAGAUGAAAUUGGAAACCAUCAUUCUCAGUAAACUAUCGCAAGAACAAAAAAACCAAACACCGUAUAUUCUCACUCAUAGGUGGGAAUUGAACAAUGAGAUCACAUGGACACAGGAAGGGG
rnacentral:lncRNA from 1 species